rnacentral:rRNA from 1 species
GGGAAUCUACCCUGAACUGCGGAAUAGCUCCGGGAAACUGGAAUUAAUACCGCAUGUGCCCUGAGGGGCAAAGAUUUAUCGGUUCAGGAUGAGCCCGCGUCGGAUUAGCUAGUUGGUGGGGUAAUGGCCUACCAAGGCGACGAUCCGUAGCUGGUCUAAGAGGAUGAUCAGCCACAUUGGGACUGAGACACGGCCCAAACUCCUACGGGAGGCAGCAGUGGGGGAUAUUGGACAAUGGGCGCAAGCCUGAUCCAGCCAUGCCGCGUGAGUGAUGAAGGCCCUAGGGUUGUAAAGCUCUUUCAGUGGGGACGAUAAUGACGGUACCCACAGAAGAAGCCCCGGCUAACUUCGUGCCAGCAGCCGCGGUAAUACGAAGGGGGCUAGCGUUGUUCGGAAUUACUGGGCGUAAAGCGCACGUAGGCGGAUAUUUAAGUCAGGGGUGAAAUCCCGGGGCUCAACCCCGGAACUGCCUUUGAUACUGGAUGUCUUGAGUCCGGAAGAGGUGAGUGGAAUUGCGAGU